AUCAUUCCUUACAGGUGCAGGAGUGGGCUAGAUUUCUGACCCUCCCUGGUGGUGAGGGUGGCCAUUUGAUUGAAAGAAGGUAAAGGUGACAUGCUACUUCUGGGCCUGGCCCAAUAAAACCUUUCUGGAAGUGACUGGCAUUCUCCUUCCUAAGUCAACGCUGAGGACCGAGAGGAGGUGGGCAGGGGAGUCCAACACGGAAGGAGCCUGCUCCCUGAUGACCAAAAGGAGCCUGUCAACCCCAAACACCGGGCCAGCCCUCAGUGCUUGCUGGUGCUUAUAGAGACGGGAGGAGACCAACCUGACAUCCCACCUGCCCCUGCAUUGUGUCACAGCCAAGAAGGAACCAGGCAAGGGCACACGUGUCUCCGACUGUGACUUCGUUGGUUCCCAGGGACGUCUGCCUAUCUUUGCAUGGACUGUUGCCAUGGCAACUUCCAGCUCACAAAAGUAUUUACAUCAGCUACCCCACGCGGUUCUGACGCGAAGGCGCAGCUCCAGCCUGUCUCCUCCGCGUUUGCCCCUGGAAUCUUCGGUUAGGACUCAGAGCUGCAGAGCUGGUCUCACUUAAGAUGACCUCGGCAGCCACCAACCCCACGGCAGACGGGUCCUCUCUAACCCCAAGGAGGCACCGGAAACAAACCUCUGGGUACAUGGAAAUGGUUUUCUUGGGCCAAAAGGAUGAUUUGUAUGAGUUG
rnacentral:lncRNA from 1 species